AAGGAGACCUUUCAGCUAGAAAUCCAGAAGAAAUAUGAAGAGAUCUUGGGACGGCCUGAUGUAAAGCAGAAAAUAGAGGCGCUGAAGGAUGAAAUCAGAAACUUUGGUGCGUCUGGAGUUCACGUGAAAAUAGUUCAUGCACAUAGUGGUCAUUGGCUCAUUACUUUGCACUUUAUUGUGAAAAUAGUUCAUGCACAUGUUC
rnacentral:lncRNA from 1 species